GUCUCCGCCAGCGGAGGGCAGAGCUGGAAGGGUCCCCGCCGCCCGAAGGGGUCUCUGGGAGCGCCCUCUCUGGGAGCGGCGACCUCUUUAAGAAGGCGGGGCUCUGCCCGGAGGAGGCGGAGAAGUCCCGCCCCCCCGGAUCUCCUGCUUCCGGCAACUCGGCUGGACCAGCACCUGCGGGGAGCGUCCAAGCCUCGAGCCUUCCGGGGACCCGCUGGACGCCGAGCCCCGCGAGAAUUUGGUGAUGCAGCCACUUCUCUAGCAGCAAACCCAGAUGCCACCACGAUAAGCAUUGAGGAUCCUCAUGAAACCCCUAAACAUCAGCCAGGAUCCCUAAGGGGCUCAGGGAGAGAAGAGGAUGAUGAGUUACUGGGAAAUGAUGACUCUGACAAAACUGAGCUACUUGCUGGACAGAAGAAAAGCUCCCCCUUCUGGACAUUUGAAUACUAUCAAACAUUCUUUGAUGUGGACACUUACCAGGUCUUUGACAGAAUUAAAGGGUCUCUUUUGCCGAUACCUGGAAAAAACUUUGUGAGAUUGUAUAUACGCAGCAAUCCAGAUCUCUAUGGCCCCUUUUGGAUAUGUGCCACAUUGGUCUUUGCCAUAGCAAUCAGUGGGAAUCUUUCCAACUUCCUAAUCCAUCUGGGGGAGAAGACGUACCAUUAUGUGCCCGAAUUCCGAAAAGUGUCCAUAGCAGCCACCAUCAUCUAUGCCUACGCCUGGCUGGUUCCUCUCGCACUCUGGGGUUUCCUCAUGUGGAGAAACAGCAAAGUUAUGAACAUCGUUUCCUAUUCGUUUCUGGAGAUUGUGUGCGUCUAUGGAUACUCACUCUUCAUUUAUAUCCCCACAGCAAUACUGUGGAUUAUCCCCCAGAAAGCUGUUCGUUGGAUUCUAGUCAUGAUAGCCCUGAGCAUCUCAGGAUCUGUCUUGGCAAUGACGUUUUGGCCAGCUGUUCGUGAGGAUAACCGGCGCAUCGCCUUGGCCACAAUUGUGACAGUUGUGUUGCUUCACAUGCUUCUUUCCGUGGGCUGCUUGGCAUACUUUUUUGAUGCACCAGAGAUGGACCAUCUCUCAACAACUACAGCUACUCCAAACCAAACAGUUGCAGCAGCUAAGUCCAGCUAAUGAGCAAAGACCCACCCAGGCACCCUCUCCUUGGUGAAGUUUUUCUUGACUUUUCCAGUUCUCUGUUAUGUUUUCUGGAGUAUAGUUCUUUUGGACAUGGCAUCCACUGCAGGAGCGCAGAAUGACCAGGGCCAGCAGGGGAACUGAUGGAGUGGCACAGGCCCCAGUGUCUGAAUGGUACCACACUGAAGCCUAAUCACCUGUUUGACAAACAGAAAUUAAAUGUUGGUCCGCACGUGUGUCUUCAGCUCUUCUUUUUCACCUUUGGAUCAUCGUUGCGAAAUACACUGAUUUGGAGUGAAAUGCUAGGGAAUGGGUUAGGCAUGCUCAGUGCCCUCCCGUUGCCUCCCAGUCAUAUGACAUGCUCCACUGUAGGCACCUGGCUACCUUCCACCUGAAACAGACCCAUCCUAACUUCUGAUGUCCUUUCUCUGAAUUCUGUACGGAUUCCCUUACGUGAUCCUCCUCCCUCCUCCAUCCUAAAGUAGCCAAACAGUAGAAACUUUGGUUGGGAUUAAUUAUCUUUGCUAACUUGGUACUGCAAUUGAGCCUAAUGGUGGCAAAAUAAAUACCUCACAUAAUG